CUAAAUUGAGAGUUGGUAGGGUCAGCACAGUGCAGAAAUGGAAGAGGAGAUAACUACAAUGUUUAUUUUAACAGUGAAUUCGGUUGAUGGUGUCAUACUUUUUUAACAAAGUGAAUGUGAAAAGCAGUUCCUGUUUCUUCAAGCAUUUUAUCAUUAACACUCUUAAACAUAUAUGACGCAACUUACUGUGAAGGAGGAGAACAAAAGUGCAGUGUGGAAGGUAGAAUAUCCAUUAUGUUUGAACCAGCUGCUCCUGCUGUACAUUACUGUCUCGUGCCAAGAAAGAAAGGAAAUGAAGAUAAACAUAAAAAUGAAGAAAAAAAUGAAAUAUGACAGCUGAAAUGCACAAUGAUUUUCACUUGGUGAAUUUGCUAAUGGGGAGGAGGACAUUGUCUAUGGUCCCUGUCUGAAGACAUUAUGUAAACUAGCAGUCAUUCAGUCUAGCUUGGAUCAGUCUGGCCUCCCUCAUGACAUCGGGUGGGAGUUGACAGCUAUGACAUCAGUCGGCCAAUCUUCUCUUCUCAUGGCUGAGUCUGCAACUCCUGCUCAACAAUACGCCAACCAGAACACACUGAGGAUUUUUGUUUUUUACUUACAGGAAAAAAACUGUGGUGUAUUCAUAGCAAAUUUGCUGUUCAUGUUUAAUUUUUGUAAAACAUUCUAAAGCAAGAUUUGAUUUCUUGCUCAUAUAUAUGUGUUUGUAUGAAAAGCAAAGAGUUUCCAUCUAAGGAUAACAGUAGUUCAGUAUGACAGUGCUUUUUGAACAAGACUGAGUUGACGUUGUGUCUUCUCAUUAUGUUGACUUGAAGUUCUAAACAGUAAAAUGAGCUGAAAUUGAUUUUAUUUCAUUCACAUGGGAAAGAAGAGACAGAAUUGAGUUUUCUAACCUACUGUUUUUCUGGAAAUAGGCACAAGUCACCCACUUAGGUAACUGACUCAUCUAAUAAACCAGUAUACACAAAGCCUAAGGAAUGCAGACAAAACAUAUAGGAAACAAGGCAAUGAA